UGGAUCCGAAAAUAAUCCAUCGCUUGCUCAAUAUUAUCCUCAACCAGCUCAGUAUUAUUCUCAACCGGUUCAAAGUUAUGCUCCGCCGGUAUAUCCUCCGCCCGCACCUCAGCCUCAGGGGAAAGUUUCUGUCCCGCAACCACCGCAAAAUCCAACGAUACCGCCUUACUCUCGUGCCCAACGGCCACAGCCGCCGACACAGAACUCCGAAGAUCGUUUUUGCAACGGAUGCUUGGCGGGUCUUUGCUGCUGCUGGCUUUUCAAUUGGUGCUACAGUCCUUGGUAGUCAAUUUAGCCAAGACAAAUUUUUUUGAAGAAGUAGGACUUGGUAUUGGUUAUGUUUGUCUCUAAUCUAUUUAUUAUUAUGAAUUUAAACAAAUGUUAUUUGAGAAUAAAGUUGGGUUAUGCACCUA